rnacentral:rRNA from 1 species
GAUGAACGCUGGCGGCGUGCCUAAUACAUGCAAGUCGAGCGAACGGACGAGAAUCUUUCUUCUCUGAUGUUAGCGUCUGUCGUGUGUUUAACACGUGUAUAACCUACCUAUAUUUCUUGUAUAACUUCGUGAAUCCUUAUCUAAUCCCGUAUAAUAUUUUGAACCGCAUGGUUCAAUAGUGAAUUACGGUCUUUCUGUCACUUAUAGAUGUAUCCGCGCUGCAUUAGCUAGUUGGUAAGGUAACGGCUUACCAAGGCAACGAUGCAUAGCCGACCUGAGAGGGUGAUCGGACACACUGGAAGAGAGACACGGACCAGAGAACUACGGGAGGCAGCAGUAGGGAAUAGUGCGAAAUGGGCGAAAGAAUGACGGAGCAAAGCAGAGUGAGUGAUGAAGGUCUGAGGAUCGUAAAAAAAGGUUAUGAGGGAAGAAAAAAAGUGGAAGAAAAAGAGAACAGAGUGACGGUAAAGAAGAAGAAAGAAACGGCUAACUACGUG